GUCGCCGUUUGGAAUGAACAAACCGUUCUAAUUAUGGAGGAAAUGUCAAUGAAAGAAUAAAUUUCGCAAGAGAAAUGAUACAGUGCGAAUUACCGACUUCUUCAUUAUCUUCAAGCUUUUCUUCAGCUUUGACAUGCAUAUUUAAAGCACAACAUAUUACCGAAUUGGCUUGUUUCCUCAAUGUUGCAUUGUCAAUGAACAUGACUGUUGACAUCUUCCUCGAUUUUUCUCAUGGUUUCAAG
rnacentral:lncRNA from 1 species